rnacentral:rRNA from 1 species
UACGGGGGGGGCAAGCGUUGUUCGGAAUUACUGGGCGUAAAGGGCUCGUAGGCGGCCAACUAAGUCAGACGUGAAAUCCCUCGGCUUAACCGGGGAACUGCGUCUGAUACUGGAUGGCUUGAGUUUGGGAGAGGGAUGCGGAAUUCCAGGUGUAGCGGUGAAAUGCGUAGAUAUCUGGAGGAACACCGGUGGCGAAGGCGGCAUCCUGGACCAACACUGACGCCGAGUGAGUGAAAGCCAGGGGAGCAAACGGG